GCUGCGCUGAGCUCUCGAGGAUCGGGAUUUGGAAUGCCACACGGAGCAGUUAAUGAUCAACUGGCCACCCCCACCCAAGAGACCCAGAGAUCACAGGGCUAUAAAGUGCACCCGGCGUCUGCCCAGACCAGACCACCAGGGCACCGGAGCUCCCCGGGCUCCCCUUCCCGUGACCUUGUGCAGCCCGCGGCCGAGGGGACCCCAAGCAGGGUGGUCUCCACUUCCCACAAUGCCCUGGUGGCAUUGUGAGGGGACACACUCUUUCCCAAGCUGCAGGUUUGGGGACGAGGCCUGCAGUUUUAAAGUGUGCCUUUGCCACUGGAAGGAAAGGCGGGCACAGGAUGGUCACCGCCAGCCUGGGCCACCUCUGCCAGCGCUGCUGACUUCUGCCGGUUUCUAGGCCCAUUCCAGAAACGUUCAGCAAGAGCUGAGGAAUGUUCCAAAGGUCCGCGGAGAGCGCAGGGCAGUCGGAGGGCGCUGGGAACCUGCCUGCCCGCGGGAGCUCGCGCCCAGCCCGGGUCAGCCACGUGCUCCCUCAGCUGACCCGGCCAAGGCGAACCGCUUGGGCGUCAAAAGCCGGCAGGGCCCAUCUUGACCUUGAGCUCCGCUUCCUGAGAGACCCUUCAGGAAAACAAGGACUGCAGGACAGAACCGGGGCCCUCGGGCGCCCAAGUGUGUCAGCACCGCCUGCUCCCAGCCCCAGUGGUGACCCGGCCCUGGUGUCCCCACAGCCACACCCAGGGCUCCUUCUGCCCCCACCUCCCCGGGACCCUCCCCCUCCACGGGCUUGGCUACUCUGCCCCCACCGCCACCUGCUCCCUUUCUCCGCCAGGUAACAGACUCCUCCGUCCAUCUGGCUUAGUGGUGCCCUGGUCAGGGAGGCCCGCCCAGCAGGGGAGGCGAGGACAGAUGGGCCACCCUCCGGGAGAGAUUCACUGUCCCCAGCACCCCUCACAACUCUGGUGGCAAAACUGUCUGUGCGCUGGGUUGUUCCGUGUCCGAGCGCCCGAGAGCAGGAACCAGUCGACCAGGUGCUGACCACCAGGACCCGAAGACCACAAGGAGGAAAGGGGAAGGAGUCUGGAUGGACAGAUGGAUGGACAGUGGACAGAUGGAC
rnacentral:lncRNA from 1 species